CUUCUCAUUUGCGCUGAUUCCUCUCUUCAUCUACCACCGUCGACCCUCCUCCUCCACCUCUCGGAUUCCUUUUCUUCUCUGACGCCGACGCCACAAGGGAACUGAUCACCGGCGGCAGAGCAUCACCUUAUCUCCUCCACCGAUCGCCUGACGUUUACUGGCGGUUGCCCUUCUCUCCGGGUCGCUGCCGUGCGAGUAGAGCUUCCACCAUGAAGGGAAAAGGUCGAGCCCUAGCCUGAGCUCUUCUCCUUGUUCCCUGAUCUUCCGCCACAUCUCCCUCUGCCUUUUUGCAUCAUCACUGAUCACCACACCCGACGCUAUUGCCUCCUCCGCAUGAGGCCAGAUCAGUGAUGCCGUAGUCAUCGCUGUCGUGAGGGUGAGCCGUCGGACUCCUCUCGAUCUUGCCUGAGGUUGCCACCCCUUGGCUGUGUUCCAGCUCCUGAUCCGCCGAUGCUGGGUUGAGCGCCACCUAAUGCAGCCUCUGUUCGACUGCCCCGACACUUUUCUUCUCCGAUUAUCCUCUGCUUUUGGAUCAGCCACCCUUCUUCUGGCAGCAGCUUCACAGUAGCUUCGAUAAUGAGUUUCCAGUAGUAGCUCCUUCAGCAAUGAAUUAAUAGGGAUCAUCUGAGGUUUAGGUAGCAGGUAAAGGAUUUAUGGAAUUGCCUGGAGAUCCUAUCCGCCAGUUCCAUAUCACAUCGAGCUUCUUCUACCGUUAGUGCUUUCUUUCACAUUGUUGGUUUUGUACUUGUUCUUGUAUUUGUGUAUUCUUUUGUAUGGAGUUUUGUUUUGUGGUAUCUUAUAUUUGGUUUGGUGAUGAUGUGUCAAGUCGAGCUGGCUCACAGUGAGUUGUUUUGUUCAUUUCAUGUUCAUUAUUUUGUGAUUUCUGCUGUGCUAUAUUUCAGCCGAGUGAGCUACAUUAUUAACUGUGUGGUUAUGCUAUGUUUCAACUG